rnacentral:rRNA from 1 species
AGAGUUUGAUUAUGGCUCAGGAUGAACGCUAGCUACAGGCUUAACACAUGCAAGUCGAGGGGCAGCAUGGUCUUAGCUUGCUAAGACCGAUGGCGACCGGCGCACGGGUGAGUAACGCGUAUCCAACCUGCCUUACACUCUUGGACAGCCUUCUGAAAGGGAGAUUAAUACAAGAUGUUAUCAUGAGUAAGCAUUUUCACAUGAUUAAAGGUUUACCGGUGUAAGAUGGGGAUGCGUUCCAUUAGAUAGUAGGCGGGGUAACGGCCACCUAGUCUUCGAUGGAUAGGGGUCUGAGAGGAGGUCCCCCANAUUGGAACUGAAGACACGGUCCAACUCCUACGGGAGGCA